UACGUAGGGUGCAAGCGUUGUCCGGAAUUAUUGGGCGUAAAGAGCUUGUAGGCGGUUUGUCGCGUCUGCUGUGAAAUUUCGGGGCUCAACCCCGAACUUGCAGUGGGUACGGGCAGACUAGAGUGUGGUAGGGGAGACUGGAAUUCCUGGUGUAGCGGUGAAAUGCGCAGAUAUCAGGAGGAACACCGGUGGCGAAGGCGGCUCACUGGCCCGGUACUGACGCUGAGGCACGAAAGCGUGGGGAGCAAACAGG
rnacentral:rRNA from 1 species